rnacentral:rRNA from 1 species
GCGUUUAUUUGAUAGUACCUUACUACUUGGAUAACCGUGGUAAUUCUAGAGAUAAUACAUGCUAUACAUCCCGACUUCGGAAGGGAUGUAUUUAUUAGAUUAAAAACCAAUGCCCUUCGGGGCUCCUUGGUGAUUCAUGAUAACUUCUCGAAUCGCAUGGCCUUGUGCCGGCGAUGGUUCAUUCAAAUUUCUUCCCUAUCAACUUUCGAUGUUUGGGUAUUGGCCAAACAUGGUUGCAACGGGUAACGGAGGGUUAGGGCUCGACCCCGGAGAAGGAGCCUGAGAAACGGCUACUACAUCCAAGGAAGGCAGCAGGCGCGCAAAUUACCCAAUCCCGACACGGGGAGGUAGUGACAAUAAAUACUGAUACAGGGCUCUUUUGGGUCUUGUAAUUGGAAUGAGUACAAUUUAAAUCCCUUAACGAGGAACAAUUGGAGGGCAAGUCUGGUGCCAGCAGCCGCGGUAAUUCCAGCUCCAAUAGCGUAUAUUAAAGUUGUUGUGGUUAAAAAGCUCGUAGUUGAACCUUGGGCCUGGCUGGCCGGUCCGCCUCACCGCGUGUACUGGUCCGGCCGGGCCUUUCCCUCUGUGGAACCCCAUGCCCUUCACNNNGUGUGGNNNGGAACAGGANNNUUACUUUGA